CUUUUCUAGGUGGAUUGGAUAUAUGUUAUGGUAGAUGGGAUGAUCAAAAUCACAGGUUGACGGAUAUUCGUGUUCAUGAAGUGCUCUCUGGUACCGCUGAAUUUGGGGAGAAACCCAGUCCUUCUUUUGAUGAACUAAUAAACGCCGAAAAUAUAUUAAAAGAACGCAAAAAGUUACCUAAGGCCAAAUACGUGACAGUUUUGAAUAUACCAUUAUUUUUUUUGUUAAAUCGGAAAACUACUGUCUAUGGAACUUUUUUACUUAUAAUUAGCAUGUUUGUAUUUCUAGUGUUCUACAUAAAAUAUUUUUUUAUAGGUAAGCGGAAGAGAAUUCAAAAACCUCAAUUUUAUUUUCCUGAAGAGAGGGGGGGGGUGGCUAAUUUUGAAUUUUUUUCCGAGGUUUAUCCCCCGUGAUUCCAUCUUGCUAAU